AAGCAGCAGACGGAGGAGACGUGAAGUCUGAGGCUGAUAAACAUUGAAACUGGUGUGAAAGAUCAUUUCACUGUGUUCUGCUGCAGCGCGGCCUGAACCACAACUGAGCCGCAGCCGGCCCGGUGCAACAUGGACGAGGCCACUUCAGAGCAAGUUGGACCCUCACACACAAAGGGUCAGGACCACAGACUGAGAGCAGAGUCUCCAGGGUCCAGCUGUCUGUCUCUGAAGAGUAACAU